rnacentral:lncRNA from 1 species
AAAUUUUAUUUUUCUUCUCCUUAUAGGGUUAUCUGACAAACUGCYUAAAAGAGAACCUUAAAAGAAGAUCUUUUCCCAGAGAAGAAACCAAGGCACAAAGUACCCUACAGCCAGAGGAGCUGUUCUGCAGGCUGAAGACUGGGAAGGCACCAGCAGUGAAACUGAAGCAGCGAUGGUGGUUGGGCAAUGGGUGAGAGCAAAAAGAGUGCAUUCCUUGAUGUUGUGCAGUUUUUACAUCAGAGUUGGGAUGUGUGAUGUCCUACAGGCUAAACAAACAGGAUCCAGAGGCAAGCUGAAGUGUAAGCCGUAAGCGUAAGCUUCUGUCGGGUCAUGUGACCUUGCCAUAAAGAGAGCAGUUUUAAAAAGCUUCAGAUGGAGCCAGGAUAGUCUGAGUCUGGGAGAAGGCUGAAUGAAGAUAUAAGGACUUUGAAAGAAAGGCUAGAAAAGACCUGAGGGAGGAGAGAAAGAGCCUGAUUAGCCAGUGGUCACUUACCUCCAGAAAAAUUUAAUUGAUCAUUUAAGAUCAAUUGGAAGAGAGCAUGGCUUGCUUUCUUCUUAAAAGCUCUAAACAAUGCUUUCUUAUUAAGAGUCUGCUGAAGAGAAAAUAUUAAUAACACUUAUUGUAAAGUGGUCAGAGAGGAAUUGAACUGCUUUUUGUUGAUAAACUUAAGCAUCUCCAAAAUCAGAGGAGUUUUGUUAGCUGACUUCUUGCAGCCCUGACAAUUCUGCUCAUAGGGAUCAUAAGAAUGCACUGAACUAUGCUGGAGAAAUUCUGUUCAAAAUCAGCUGCUACAAAUGCGUUUGGCUUCCCAGGUGUGGGCAGUGCCAGUUCUGUGCCAGAGCUAAUCUGUGGUCUUAAAACACACUAAAAAAGACAAGUAAACAAAAAGAAAGGCUUCAUCCAGGGGAUCCAGAGGAGAAAAUUGUGGCCUGACGUAAAACCCAGUGGGUCCCACUAACGUCUCAAAACAAGUUGUUCCAGGCAAUGUUCUUCACCUGAUUACCCCAUUCCUGUGCCUCAGGAGAUCCUGCCCCCUGAACAACAAGAUUAAAGCUCUGUUGAACAAAACUGGCACAAUUCUACCACAUUCAAAAAUUUGUUAACCUUAACAGUAUAGAUACUUCGGUCUCAUUCCCCUUUCCAUCUCCAUAAGCUGCUGAAUCACAGCUUCUUAAUGAUUGCAGCUGGUCUCACUAAGGGAUUAUUUAGUAUUUGUGAAAAAUCUAGUCCCUAAUUACUAUAUCCUGUUAGGAAUGUGCUGGCUCUAAUUGUGUAACAGUGGUGGAGGCUGAGGAUGCUUUUCUCUCUUAAGAGAUUCUCAGCACUUGGAAGACCAGACCUUGAGUCAUUUAGAAGCUAGUUUUUGCCCUUCUUUUUAAUCUGUGGCUGUGAUGGUUGCUGCCCUGCCCAAAGGCAAGGCUUGAGCUAGGACCCUUCAGAACCAAGAGCACAUGCUUGGUUCCUUGAGCAAAGCAGUUUGAUGCCUUAAACUUUCUGUGGCUCAGUAACAGAAAAGAUCCAAUGGUCAGUGGGUUAUGCUUACAGAAUUUUCCAUUGGUUUCUGUCAGGAACAUUGAUUUCUCCAACUAUAUUCUUCGAAUUUGUUGACAUUUAGUUAGUCACAUAUUUAUUAUUUUCAAACUGCAUUGUCUUUCAUGUAUUUGCAAUAAAGACAGUAUAAUGUUACA